rnacentral:lncRNA from 1 species
UCUCCGCCAGAUCGCCGCCAUCAUGGACACGAGUCGCGUGCAGCCCAUCAAGCUGGCUAGGGUGAGGCGACUGCGGGUGUUUAGAAACCUGAAUAAAGAGAGAAGAAAGCUGAACAUGUCGAGCCUAACUUUCCCUUAUUUCCUGUAGGUAACCAAAGUGCUGGGCAGGACCGGUUCGCAGGGACAGUGCACGCAGGUGAGUGAUGGGAACAUUCGGACCACUUCCUGGGGUCGGAGCGGAGUCCUCCCGAGUACCAGGAUUAUAACUGGAUUUGGUGACGUUUAAUUCUAGUAGCUAGGUUCAGGGAGGAUAUGACUUUGUAAGAAACGCGGAUACCGUAGUAAGACUGCCUUUGAAAGCUUUGGUGGUUUUUUGUUGGGGGGGGGGGGGUGUUCUAGACAGGGUUUCUCUGUGUAACCCUGGCUGUCCUCGAACUGAGAAAUCCGCCUGCCUCUGCUUCCCAAGUGCUGAGAUUAAAGGCGCGGGCUACCACUGCCCAGCUAAAAGAUUUGGUUUUUAAAGAGGUGGAGUUGGCGGGACCUGUGUGUCAGUAGUAGACUUGCUUACCAUACAAAGAACCCGAAAAAACUUGAGUACUGAACUCAAAGCUAGUAAUUAAAGAUGUCUAAGGAAGUUCACUUGGAGUUCCAGUCAAGCUUAGGCUACAAAAUGAUCCAGUACCGAAAAAACCUGGGCCACUGUUGAUAGUGUGCUUGCCUCGGUCCACCACAUAGAACAAGAACGGUAGGGCAUCUCACCUACUCCAGGAGACAGACAAGCCUAGGCUAAAGAUGCCCUGACCGUUCGUUCCCCUGGCUUAUACCCAGGUCUCCCAUCACAGCUAAUUAAGAAACUAAGGUAGGGGGACCCGUAGAUCAGGGCCAGCCUGAAGUAAGUUGGAGGCACCCAGAUAAAAUUGUAAGUGGGGAGGGUGUUGUAAUUCCAGAAGGAUCACAGGAUUUCAAGGUCAGAUCAGGCUACAGAGACCCUAUCAUGUGAGUGAUUCAAUGCCUUUGGUCUGGCAAAUGAGACCUUAAGAGUAACAAAUGCUUGUAACUGCUGAACCAUCUGACCUGACCAGCCCCUGUCCCAGGCUCUGGUCCAUAUUACCUUUCCACCCCACUAGUAAGUAGCAGCAUUUAACUCUUGUAUUGGGCUUGUAGGUGCGAGUGGAAUUCAUGGAUGACACCAGCCGCUCUAUCAUCCGAAAUGUCAAAGGCCCCGUUCGAGAGGGUGACGUGCUCACCCUAUUGGAGUCAGAAAGAGAAGCUCGAAGGUUGCGUUAAUCUUGCAGCUGGUGGGUAAGUGGCAACCCUUGGGAGGGACUUGUUAGGAGGUAAGAAAGGCACUCUAUCUAAUGCUUGGGUCUGUUUACAGGGUUCUGGAUAUCCACUACUUAGCCCACGGAAUGAUCUGCAACUGUUAAAUAAAGCAUUUAUAUU